rnacentral:tRNA from 1 species
GUUUAUAUAUUUAAUAUAAAAUUUGAAUUGCAAUCAAAAAAUAUUGGCUAAUCCAAUUAU